rnacentral:rRNA from 1 species
UACGUAGGUGGCAAGCGUUGUCCGGAUUUACUGGGCGUAAAGAGCGCGCAGGCGGUCGUGCAAGUCGCGUGUGAAAGCCCCCGGCUCAACUGGGGAGGGUCACGCGAUACUGCUCGACUCGAAGGCAGGAGAGGGAUGCGGAAUUCCAGGUGUAGCGGUGAAAUGCGUAGAUAUCUGGAGGAACACCGGUGGCGAAGGCGGGUCUCUGGGCAGUAACUGACGCUGAGGAGCGAAAGCGUGGGGAGCGAACAGG